AAAAAGGGCCUUUAUCAUGUUUGAUACUCAGAUUGCAAAAUCUGGGCAGAGUCACCAUCAGGAGAUUUUGGGGGCAGAAUUUCUUCAAUUGGUGGCAGUUGGUACUCUUUAGGUCCAGUGCCCCC